rnacentral:sRNA from 1 species
UUUCAUUUAUUUUAUGUUUUUGGCAGUAAUCUUCAAACUAUUAGUGUUGCAAAGUUCGAUAACAAAAGUGUUGAGUAAUCGAUAACACACGGUACUUAACAGCGCUGCUUAACACUGAUGAAGCGAGGUGUUUUUCAGUGUUACAAAUGGUCGAAGGUAACAAAAAUUUUCUGAACUAUUUUUCCCGGUAAAAAACGUGGAAAAAUGUCCAAAACCGCUAUAAUCGCGCUGGGGAAAGAGCUGGUCGUAGAUUUCACAUGAAACAUCGUCUCGAACGCGCCAGGCAAACGUGGAAAAAGACCGGGAAACCGCACGACGGCCUCCACGCUCCGCUCAGCGCCAUUUUGUUUCGCUUUUUUGCUGUUACGCUGCUGUUAUUCAUCGUGCAUUUUUUCAUGCGCGCUCGCUUACACGUCGAAUUUAGAAGAGAAUUAACUCUCUCCCACGCUCUCACUCUCUCUCGCUCUCUCGCACCACCACACACACAUGGGACUAACGCUCUCUCUGCUCUCGCUAGCAGAGCAACAAUGUCCGUCUCUCUCCCACGCAGCCGGCCGGGGCCGAGAGUUAGAGCGGUGCAGCAGUAGGCAGCAGGCGCGUGCGCCUCGUGCCCGAAAUGAGCAUGUGUGCGUGUGUAUUCGCAUUUCAGUAAUUUCGAAAAAAUUUUUGUAUAUUUGAUGGCGACAGCGACGGUUCGGCUGCUUUACUCACAAGAAACGCGCGUUUGUCGAAAAUCGUAGCGCGUACGUAUAUCGGUGUGUAGAAAUUACUAAAAAAUGAUGUUGCACUUAUAACAGUACAAUCUGAAUGUUGUAUAUGUUCAGUUUAAAUACAACAUACAACAAUAAUAACAAACAACAACAACAACAACAAUUAUCGCAACAGCAACAACAACCACAACAAUCACCGCAAGAAAAAGGAGUUAUAUAUUGUUUUUUUUUUAUUUUUUAAAUUCAAAACCCCCGACAAACACAACAAUACUACGAGAAGCAGCUAACUAAGCCCGGCUCCAUUCAUAAAGCAAUGAAAACCAAACAGAGAGCGACCAGAAUCGGUUGUUAACCAAGUGCACUAGCCGGAUAUUGGAUAUACGUCGUCUAUAUAUAUAUAUUUCGGAUAUAAACACGGCUCGCCCAGUCGAAGGAAAAAUUUCUCUCCUUCGACAUCGCCAUCGCCAUCGCCCUCGCCAAUCGUCAAUCGCCUUCGAGGAUACCCAGCAAUUGGAGUCUCUGCAUCGCAAUAUAAUUAAGGAAACAGAAUGCCUCCAGUAGUAGCACUAUUGCCGGCCCUUGGAGCAGCAUCUGUUGUCUGUGGCUCCCGUGCCUUCUAUUGAGAGGAGCCCCGGAGCGCUGAGAAUCUGGAGCAGGGGUGUGAACAGAUAUUGCCGAGCAUGAAGCAACGGACCGCUACGCAGCACUAUCCCUCAAUCAGCAACCGAUUUGUAUCAAUCACAAGCCGUAUAAGCAGAGCAGCAUCUAAUAAAUUGUCUGGAUCAGGAGCAGGAGCAGGACCAGGAGAAGGAGCAGGAGCAGGAGCAGGAGCACCUGGUGGCAUAGACAAAUUCGUGGCCAGUCAGAGGAGGAGGAGGAGGUGGUCGUCGGCCACAUAAGACUAGAUCCUCUCCCCCACCCCCACCCUGAACAAGGAGCAGCGCCAGAGGAGGAGCAGGAGGGACACGAACUGCAUAAGGAGCAGGAGCUGCCGGAGGAGCGGAGCGGAGAGGAGACGGAGACGGAGACGGCCCGGGCGUGUGUGU